CCCGAAACCCGGUGAUCUAGCCAUGGGCAGGUUGAAGGUUGGGUAACACUAACUGGAGGACCGAACCGACUAAUGUUGAAAAAUUAGCGGAUGACCUGUGGCUGGGGGUGAAAGGCCAAUCAAACCGGGAGAUAGCUGGUUCUCCCCGAAAGCUAUUUAGGUAGCGCCUCGUGAAUUCAUCUCCGGGGGUAGAGCACUGUUUCGGCUAGGGGGCCAUCCCGGCUUACCAACCCGAUGCAAACUGCGAAUACCGGAGAAUGUUAUCACGGGAGACACACGGCGGGUGCUAACGUCCGUCGUGAAGAGGGAAACAACCCAGACCGCCAGCUAAGGUCCCAAAGUCAUGGUUAAGUGGGAAACGAUGUGGGAAGGCCCAGACAGCCAGGAUGUUGGCUUAGAAGCAGCCAUCAUUUAAAGAAAGCGUAAUAGCUCACUGGUCGAGUCGGCCUGCGCGGAAGAUGUAACGGGGCUAAACCAUGCACCGAAGCUGCGGCAGCGACA
rnacentral:rRNA from 1 species